rnacentral:rRNA from 1 species
GACGAACGCUGGCGGCGUGCUUAACACAUGCAAGUCGAACGGUGAAGGGGAGCUUGCUCCCCGGAUCAGUGGCGAACGGGUGAGUAACACGUGGGCAACCUGCCCCAGACUUCGGGAUAACGCUUCGAAAGAGGUGCUAAUACCGGAUACGAACUCCUUGGGCAUCCUGGGAGUUGGAAAGUUUUUCGGUCUGGGAUGGGCCCGCGGCCUAUCAGCUAGUUGGGGAGGUAACGGCUCACCAAGGCGACGACGGGUAGCCGGCCUGAGAGGGCGACCGGCCACACUGGGACUGAGACACGGCCCAGACUCCUACGGGAGGCAGCAGUGGGGAAUAUUGCGCAAUGGGCGAAAGCCUGACGCAGCAACGCCGCGUGAGGGAUGACGGCCUUCGGGUUGUAAACCUCUUUCAGCAGGGAAGAAGCGAAAGUGACGGUACCUGCAGAAGAAGCAUCGGCUAACUACGUGCCAGCAGCCGCGGUAAAAC